ACGCCUAUUGUAGCUGUAGUUGACAAUAAUUUGUUAGAAAGUUUCAAGCUCAUCAAAAAUGAUUACUAAAGAUGAGAUAGCAAGAAGGUUUCGUAUUGCCCAAGACUGCAUCAUCCUGAAGGUGAAGCAUGGCAGGGAGUCUGCCUCUGCCAGCAUUGUUCUCCCCAGCAGGAGUAAAAGCAAUUUAGGAGUUGGGACCCCCCAAAGUUGACAUGUCAGCACCUCCACCAUACAGUGAAUGUAGUCACUACAUUCACUACAGUGAAUGUAGUGACGGCCACUCGACAAUUGUGGCCAUUGAUGGACCCAUGUGCAACAUCAGCCUUUCAGGAGCUGGAUUGGGUGGAGAUCUAGCAGGCCUAGAGGCUAGAACCCCCUUCGUAUGAGGAAGUGCAGCGCAUCAAAGCUGUGGAGGCUCAACUGGAAUCGGACCACAUUCUCAUGCCU
rnacentral:lncRNA from 1 species